rnacentral:rRNA from 1 species
CCUACGGGCGGCUGCAGUGGGGAAUAUUGGACAAUGGGCGAAAGCCUGAUCCAGCCAUGCCGCGUGUGUGAAGAAGGCCUUCGGGUUGUAAAGCACUUUCAGUGGGGAAGAAAGCCUUGGGGCUAAUACCCUCGAGGAAGGACAUCACCCACAGAAGAAGCACCGGCUAACUCCGUGCCAGCAGCCGCGGUAAUACGGAGGGUGCGAGCGUUAAUCGGAAUUACUGGGCGUAAAGCGCGCGUAGGUGGUCUGAUAAGCCGGUUGUGAAAGCCCCGGGCUCAACCUGGGAACGGCAUCCGGAACUGUCAGGCUAGAGUGCAGGAGAGGAAGGUAGAAUUCCCGGUGUAGCGGUGAAAUGCGUAGAGAUCGGGAGGAAUACCAGUGGCGAAGGCGGCCUUCUGGACUGACACUGACGCUGAGGUGCGAAAGCGUGGGUAGCAAACAGGAUUAGAUACCCCAGUAGUC